rnacentral:rRNA from 1 species
UACGUAGGUGGCAAGCGUUGUCCGGAAUUACUGGGCGUAAAGGGUGCGUAGGUGGUUUCUUAAGUCAGAGGUGAAAGGCUACGGCUCAACCGUAGUAAGCCUUUGAAACUGGGAAACUUGAGUGCAGGAGAGGAGAGUGGAAUUCCUAGUGUAGCGGUGAAAUGCGUAGAUAUUAGGAGGAACACCAGUUGCGAAGGCGGCUCUCUGGACUGUAACUGACACUGAGGCACGAAAGCGUGGGGAGCAAAUAGGAUUAGAUACCCCGGUAGUCCCUGAGCGGG